UCCCUUCCCUUCCCUUCCCUUCCCUUCCCUUCCCUUCCCUUCCCUUCCCUUCCCUUCCCUUCCCUUCCCUUCCCUUCCUGCCUGAGGCCUCGUUCAGCAGCAGCAGCACUGAAGCCAAGGCAAUCUUGCCUCACAGCUAUUAAAUGCCAACCGACAGCCUGCAGAGAUGCCUUCAAAUCAAAGGUUCAGGUGGGAUGAAGUUUUGUUUGGACGAAGGUGGGAGUUUCCAGGGAGCCAGCUGGAAGUGCAGAAGGGAUGGAAAGCUUUCCCAGGUGCUGGACUUGCCUCUGUGGAUGUGCGCUGAGCUCUCACUGCAGGGGACUGUGAGGCCUGACUGGCUCUUGAAGAAACUUGAAGAAGGAAUUUGGAUAUAUAAAAACAAGCUGAGAAGAGCAUCAGUGUGUUCACUGGCAGCACGGGCUGGGAUGAGGGCUGAGCAGGACCCAAGCUGCAGCACAUCAUCCAUUCAGCUUUCACCUCAUGUUUUAUCACGGCCUUUAUGAGACAGAUGUGAAUCGAUGAGUCCCAGGCCGAGCCAUGCCCGUGCCCCGUUCUGUUGGAGCUGGU